rnacentral:rRNA from 1 species
GCGAAUUAGUAUCAUGACGUAGACCCGAAACCAUGUGACCUACCCAUGAGCAGGUUGAAGGUGCGGUAAGACGCACUGGAGGACCGAACCAGGGCACGUUGAAAAGUGCUUGGAUGACUUGUGGGUAGCGGAGAAAUUCCAAACGAACUUGGAGAUAGCUGGUUCUCUCCGAAAUAGCUUUAGGGCUAGCGUCGACAUAAAGAUUCUUGGAGGUAGAGCACUGUUUGGGUGAGGGGUCCAUCCCGGAUUACCAAUCUCAGAUAAACUCCGAAUGCCAAUGAAUUAUGGUCGGCAGUCAGACUGCGAGUGCUAAGAUCCGUAGUCGAAAGGGAAACAGCCCAGACCACCAGCUAAGGUCCCAAAAUAAUUGUUAAGUGGAAAAGGAUGUGGGGUUGCACAGACAACUAGGAUGUUAGCUUAGAAGCAGCUAUUCAUUCAAAGAGUGCGUAAUAGCUCACUAGUCGAGUGACCCUGCGCCGAAAAUGUACCGGGGCUAAAACAAUUUACCGAAGCUGUGGAUACCUUUAUAGGUAUGGUAGGAGAGCGUUCUAUGUGUGGAGAAGGUGUACCGUGAGGAG